GGAGAGAUGUCCGAGUGGUCGAAGGAGCACGACUGGAAAUCGUGUGUACUGCAAGGUACCGAGGGUUCGAAUCCCUCUCUCUCCGCCA
rnacentral:tRNA from 2 species